rnacentral:rRNA from 1 species
AGAGUUUGAUCAUGGCUCAGAUUGAACGCUGGCGGCAGGCCUAACACAUGCAAGUCGAACGGUAACAGGAAGAAGCUUGCUUCUUUGCUGACGAGUGGCGGACGGGUGAGUAAUGUCUGGGAAACUGCCUGAUGGAGGGGGAUAACUACUGGAAACGGUAGCUAAUACCGCAUAACGUCGCAAGACCAAAGAGGGGGACCUUCGGGCCUCUUGCCAUCGGAUGUGCCCAGAUGGGAUUAGCUAGUAGGUGGGGUAACGGCUCACCUAGGCGACGAUCCCUAGCUGGUCUGAGAGGAUGACCAGCCACACUGGAACUGAGACACGGUCCAGACUCCUACGGGAGGCAGCAGUGGGGAAUAUUGCACAAUGGGCGCAAGCCUGAUGCAGCCAUGCCGCGUGUAUGAAGAAGGCCUUCGGGUUGUAAAGUACUUUCAGCGGGGAGGAAGGGAGUAAAGUUAAUACCUUUGCUCAUUGACGUUACCCGCAGAAGAAGCACCGGCUAACUCCGUGCCAGCAGCCGCGGUAAUACGGAGGGUGCAAGCGUUAAUCGGAAUUACUGGGCGUAAAGCGCACGCAGGCGGUUUGUUAAGUCAGAUGUGAAAUCCCCGGGCUCAACCUGGGAACUGCAUCUGAUACUGGCAAGCUUGAGUCUCGUAGAGGGGGGUAGAAUUCCAGGUGUAGCGGUGAAAUGCGUAGAGAUCUGGAGGAAUACCGGUGGCGAAGGCGGCCCCCUGGACGAAGACUGACGCUCGGGUGCGAAAGCGUGGGGAGCAAACAGGAUUAGAUACCCUGGUAGUCCACGCCGUAAACGAUGUCGACUUGGAGGUUGUGCCCUUGAGGCGUGGCUUCCGGAGCUAACGCGUUAAGUCGACCGCCUGGGGAGUACGGCCGCAAGGUUAAAACUCAAAUGAAUUGACGGGGGCCCGCACAAGCGGUGGAGCAUGUGGUUUAAUUCGAUGCAACGCGAAGAACCUUACCUGGUCUUGACAUCCACAGAACUUUCCAGAGAUGGAUUGGUGCCUUCGGGAACUGUGAGACAGGUGCUGCAUGGCUGUCGUCAGCUCGUGUUGUGAAAUGUUGGGUUAAGUCCCGCAACGAGCGCAACCCUUAUCUUUUGUUGCCAGCGGUCCGGCCGGGAACUCAAAGGAGACUGCCAGUGAUAAACUGGAGGAAGGUGGGGAUGACGUCAAGUCAUCCUGGCCCUUACGACCAGGGCUACACACGUGCUACAAU